GUGCUUGCUUCGGCAGCACAUAUACUGAAAAAUUGGAACGAUGCAGAGAAGAUUAGCAUGGCCCCUGCGCAAGGAUGACACGCUAAUUUGUGAAGUGUUCCAUUAAAAA
ensembl:snRNA U6 U6 spliceosomal RNA